rnacentral:rRNA from 1 species
CCUACGGGAGGCAGCAGUGGGGAAUAUUGGACAAUGGGGGCAACCCUGAUCCAGCCAUGCCGCGUGUGUGAAGAAGGCCCUCGGGUUGUAAAGCACUUUCAGUGAGGAAGAACGCCUGGUGGUUAAUACCCAUCAGGAAAGACAUCACUCACAGAAGAAGCACCGGCUAACUCCGUGCCAGCAGCCGCGGUAAUACGGAGGGUGCGAGCGUUAAUCGGAAUUACUGGGCGUAAAGCGCGCGUAGGUGGCUUGAUAAGCCGGUUGUGAAAGCCCCGGGCUCAACCUGGGAACGGCAUCCGGAACUGGCAGGCUAGAGUGCAGGAGAGGAAGGUAGAAUUCCCGGUGUAGCGGUGAAAUGCGUAGAGAUCGGGAGGAAUACCAGUGGCGAAGGCGGCCUUCUGGACUGACACUGACGCUGAGGUGCGAAAGCGUGGGUAGCAAACAGGAUUAGAUACCCGAGUAGUC